rnacentral:tRNA from 1 species
GCCGAGGUGGCUGAGUGGAAAGGCGCAGGCCUGGAAUAGCCUGUGUUCCGGAAGGGACUCAAGGGUUCAAAUCCCUUCCUCGGCG